AGUCGAACGCAGUAGCAAUACUGAGUGGCAAACGGGUGAGUAUAAUGUGGGAAUCUGCCUUUUGGUUUGGAAUAACACGGGGAAACUUGUGCUAAUACCGAAUAAGCCCUUACGGGGAAAGUUUUAACGCCGAAAGAUGAGCCUGCACUUGAUUAGCUAGUUGGUAAGGUAAAGGCUUACCAAGGCAACGAUCAAUAGCUGUUCUUAGAGGAAGACCAGCCACAUUGGGACUGAGACACGGCCCAGACUCCUACGGGAGGCAGCAGUGGGGAAUCUUGCACAAUGGGGGAAACCCUGAUGCAGCGAUGCCGCGUGAGUGAAGAAGGCCUUUGGGUUGUAAAACUCUUUCGUCGGGGAAGAAAAUGACUGUACCCGAAUAAGAAGGUCCGGCUAACUUCGUGCCAGCAGCCGCGGUAAUACGAAGGGACCUAGCGUAGUUCGGAAUUACUGGGCUUAAAGAGCUCGUAGGUGGUUAAAAAAGUUGAUGGUGAAAUCCCAAGGCUCAACCUUGGAACUGCCAUCAAAACUUUUUAGCUAGAGUGUGAUAGAGGUAAGUGGAAUUUCUAGUGUAGAGGUGAAAUUCGUAGAUAUUAGAAAGAACACCAAAUGCGAAGGCAACUUACUGGGUCACUACUGACACUGAGGAGCGAAAGCAUGGGUAGCGAAGAGGAUUAGAUACCCUCGUAGUCCAUGCCGUAAACGAUGUGUGCUAGACGUUGGAAAUAUAUUUUUCAGUGUCGCAGCGAAAGCAUUAAGCACACCGCCUGGGGAGUACGACCGCAAGGUUAAAACUCAAAUGAAUUGACGGGGACCCGCACAAGCAGUGGAGCAUGUGGUUUAA
rnacentral:rRNA from 1 species